CGGGSRWGCGMGCUUAMCAUGCAAGUCGAGCGGAUGRAGGGAGCUUGCUCCUGGAUUCAGCGGCGGACGGGUGAGUAAUGCUUAGGAAUCUGCCUAUUAGUGGGGGACAACAGUUGGAAACGACUGCUAAUACCGCAUACGCCCUACGGGGGAAAGGAGGGGAUCUUCGGACCUUUCGCUAAUAGAUGAGCCUAAGUCAGAUUAGCUAGUUGGUGGGGUAAAGGCCUACCAAGGCGACGAUCUGUAGCGGGUCUGAGAGGAUGAUCCGCCACACUGGGACUGAGACACGGCCCAGACUCCUACGGGAGGCAGCAGUGGGGAAUAUUGGACAAUGGGGGCAACCCUGAUCCAGCCAUGCCGCGUGUGUGAAGAAGGCCUUUUGGUUGUAAAGCACUUUAAGCGAGGAGGAGGCUCUUCUAGUUAAUACCUAGGAUGAGUGGACGUUACUCGCAGAAUAAGCACCGGCUAACUCUGUGCCAGCAGCCGCGGUAAUACAGAGGGUGCGAGCGUUAAUCGGAUUUACUGGGCGUAAAGCGUACGUAGGCGGCUUUUUAAGUCGGAUGUGAAAUCCCUGAGCUUAACUUAGGAAUUGCAUUCGAUACUGGGAAGCUAGAGUAUGGGAGAGGAUGGUAGAAUUCCAGGUGUAGCGGUGAAAUGCGUAGAGAUCUGGAGGAAUACCGAUGGCGAAGGCAGCCAUCUGGCCUAAUACUGACGCUGAGGUACGAAAGCAUGGGGAGCAAACAGGAUUAGAUACCCUGGUAGUCCAUGCCGUAAACGAUGUCUACUAGCCGUUGGGGCCUUUGAGGCUUUAGUGGCGCAGCUAACGCGAUAAGUAGACCGCCUGGGGAGUACGGUCGCAAGACUAAAACUCAAAUGAAUUGACGGGGGCCCGCACAAGCGGUGGAGCAUGUGGUUUAAUUCGAUGCAACGCGAAGAACCUUACCUGGUCUUGACAUAGUAAGAACUUUCCAGAGAUGGAUUGGUGCCUUCGGGAACUUACAUACAGGUGCUGCAUGGCUGUCGUCAGCUCGUGUCGUGAGAUGUUGGGUUAAGUCCCGCAACGAGCGCAACCCUUUUCCUUAUUUGCCAGCGGGUUAAGCCGGGAACUUUAAGGAUACUGC
rnacentral:rRNA from 1 species